rnacentral:rRNA from 1 species
UACGGAGGGUGCAAACGUUGCUCGGAAUUAUUGGGCGUAAAGCGCACGUAGGCGGUUCGUUAUGUCGGAUGUGAAAGCCCCGGGCUUAACCCGGGAAGGGCAUCCGAAACUGGCGGGCUUGAGUACGGAAGAGGGUCUCGGAAUUCCCGGUGUAGAGGUGAAAUUCGUAGAUAUCGGGAGGAACACCAGUGGCGAAGGCGGAGACCUGGGCCGAUACUAACGCUGAGGUGCGAAAGCGUGGGGAGCAAACAGG